AUGGCGAGCGCCUCCAUCUCCUCUCUGUUCCUCGCGCCACCCGGAUUUCCCUGCCAGAUCGCCGGCCGCCUAGCCCCCGCCCCCAGAAUCCGUUCCUCGAGGCGCUUCGCGGCUGCCCGCUGCGAGGCCGCCCUCGUCCCGGCGUGGCGGCUCCGCGCGCCGCCCCGUCGCCGGAACGUGCUGCGCGACAAGGCCCCGCCGCCGCUGGUGGUUCGCCCUCCCAACCACGAGGCCCUCGAUUCUCGUCCGCAGCUGGACAAGGACCGCCCUCCUUUGGUUGGUCUUACUGGAGAACCGCAGUCUGCUUCGUCCGAUGAUCACGCGUUACCGGAUCCUGAGGAGAAAUCGGACAUUUCUGUUUGUCUAGAUGCCGGUCCAAGUGGGAAUGCAGUGGCUGAGUCCACCUUGGAUGGCCCGAAGGAUUUGGAUUGGGAUGCAGAGGAGAGCCAUCUCUGCGGCAAUGGGACCGGUCCUGUAUUCAGUGUAUAUGAAGACCCAGACGGCAAUGCAGUGCAUGUUGAGGUGAAUGAGGAUGAAAUCGUUAGCAGGUGUGUGAGUGCAGAUGGAGAAGGGAGUGGCGAUUUGCAGUCCAUGUUGUCUCGUGCAAGAGUAAUGGCUAAGGGGUUUGAAAGUGGCGAACGUGAGGUUCCGAAGAACAGCUCAUUGGUUCAGUUCGUAGCCACCGAGAAGAAGGAAUCGUGUGUUGCGGAUGCUGAUGUUUCAGUUGUGCAGACAAAUAGGACUGCUUCAAGGGCUGUUGCACAGGGUGGUUUUGCAGCAUUUUGUGGUGUGUGCAUUGUAUUGAUGGCGUCGAAGUUGAUUUGGAGGAACAUCAAGGCACCUUUUUCUAGAAAGUCGUUUCAUGUACCUAGACCAGGGAUGAGAGCUGGUCAAUUGGACAAGGGUAACGGCAUGGUAAUCAGUAAUGUACAUAAGUUUCCAGGAGAUUUACUGGUAAGACCGCAGUUAGAGAGGAUGGAAUUGAUGAACAACCUCAAAAAAGCCAAAAUGUCAAGAGAACGGUUUUCUUUCAGAAAUAUAUUUUGUUGCAGUACUGUUGCAAAUGAUGACAAUGCAAGAAUAACCGAGAUCAGAAGAAUGGUGACUGAUGUUCACACUCUAGAAGAAGGAAACCUUGGAAAAAGCAAAGGGGGAAACAAUAAUUCUGUUGUCUUUCCCCACCCAGUAGUUGCCACCGAGGAAGCAAUUUCAGCAAGUUAUGUUAGACAAUCCGUAGAUGAUGCAUCAGAGUUCGACAGUUGUGAAUUACCUAAUAUUAGUUCCUCCAAUGGUAUUAUUGAGGAAAGUGUCAAGCAGCCUGUGGAUUUUAAGAACGGAGCACCAACCGUAGACACAUGUGUAAAAGAUCAGUAUGUUAUUGGAGAAAUUGAACAGCCUGAGUUCAGGUAUAAUGAUGAGAGCACAGCUGAUGCAAAGGAUACAACUUCUGUCAUACAUGCAGCAGAAAAAGAACUACAUAUUUGUUCUGCAGAUGAUCAUAAUGUGAGUCCUAAUACCAUCAAUACCCCAUCACCUGAGUUUGAAAGAAAAGAACAGUUCGCGGAGAUAGCUGCUAGUAUUCAAGGACUAGAACCAUCUGAGCUGUUCAGUAGUGACAAACAGAUGAUUUGUAUAAAUGGUAGUGCUCACCAGAUCAUCAAUAAUGUUGUCCCAGAAACUGCUGAUGUUUUUUCACCUAAUUGCUUUAACAUUUCAUCAUCUGGGUUGAAAUACAACGGAGCAUCCCUAGCCAAUAGUGAAAAUGAUAUCAAUUGCAUGCAAGAAACUGAAGUACCGAUGGCCUUUGCAAAUGAUGCUCAGAUGGCUAACUGUGAAGGCUUUGCUCAUUGCGUAAGCAUAAUAGGUAAAGAAGCAUGUAAAGAUCCACUAAUGACCGAUAUAUCAACUAUGAAAUCACCUCAGAGAAUCAGUGAAGAGCCUGCGGAUUUGAUGACAUAUAACAUGCAAUGCAUGCAAGAACCAGAACCAUCCAACCAUGAUGGCAAAGAGGUAAUUUAUGCAAAUGCGAAGAACCAUAAGAAAGCCGUAGUACACAAUGAGACAAAGACUAGUUCAGAAACAGUUGAUGAAGCUAACACAUCUCCAUUAUACAUCCUACAAGAAACAGUUCAACACAGAGGUGCAGAAGUUGAAAUAUCAGAGAAGGAAGUGAAAAUCACUUCCUCCAACAAAGAAGCCAGAGGGCAUCUUAAAAAGGAUAAAGCGAAACUACAGAAAGAAAUGUUCAGUGACAAGGUACCUGGAACAAAGUUGUCAGCAGAAGGUGGUGUACCUGGAACUAGCAUUGUGGUUGAUCCAUCAAAUGGUGUACAGAAAACUAAAAGAGUGGCACGCAAACGGCUGAAGAAAGUGCAAACUAAUCAGGGAGCUGCAGAAAGAGUCACAGAACAAGAUGUCGCUCACAAUAGCAGCAUGGUUGGUCAGGAAAACAGUAGCCAGAAUGUUAGAAGGACAAGAAGAAAAAAUCAGACAAAUGCAUUUCACACCGAAGGAUCUCAAACAAGAGAAGAAAUUCCAGAAACAACUUCCAUGGAAAGUUUACCUGAUGAUGCACCAAUAGCUGAAAACAUGAAACCUCUUGUUAAGGCAGGUUCACCUGCUGGAACACUAUCUUCAGAGGAUAUUCUUAGGGAAUCUCAGCCAAGUAGGUUCAAUACCCAUACAAUGAGGAAGGAAGAGUUAAAACUCAAAUUCCAAGCUUCCGAAAGGAUGGAGGCAGCCGCAACGGAAACUAAAACCAAUAUGCACAACUAUAGUGCCAUGCAUGAGGGAUCAACUGAUUUUGACAAGUCGAAGACGAAGAUGGGUGUAGCUGCUGCCAAGAAGUCCACAAAGAGAAAAUCAUUGUCGAAGCGUACCAAGCCAAGUAAUCCAGUGUCAAAUAAAGACUCAGAGGAACCCACUGGUGACUGA
rnacentral:rRNA from 1 species